rnacentral:rRNA from 1 species
UACGAAGGGGGCUAGCGUUGCUCGGAAUCACUGGGCGUAAAGCGCACGUAGGCGGCUUUCUAAGUCAGGGGUGAAAUCCUGGAGCUCAACUCCAGAACUGCCUUUGAUACUGAGUAGCUUGAGUCCGGGAGAGGUGAGUGGAACUGCGAGUGUAGAGGUGAAAUUCGUAGAUAUUCGCAAGAACACCAGUGGCGAAGGCGGCUCACUGGCCCGGUACUGACGCUGAGGUGCGAAAGCGUGGGGAGCAAACAGG